UCGAGGGGCAGCAUGACUGUAGCAAUACAGUUGAUGGCGACCGGCAAACGGGUGCGGAACACGUACACAACCUUCCUUUAAGUGGGGGAUAGCCCAGAGAAAUUUGGAUUAAUACCCCUUAACAUUAUGAUAUGGCAUCAUAUUAUAAUUAAAGCUCCGGCGCUUAAUGAUGGGUGUGCGGCUGAUUAGGUAGUUGGCGGGGUAACGGCCCACCAAGCCUGCGAUCAGUAACUGGUGUGAGAGCACGACCAGUCACACGGGCACUGAGACACGGGCCCGACUCCUACGGGAGGCAGCAGUAAGGAAUAUUGGUCAAUGGACGCAAGUCUGAACCAGCCAUGCCGCGUGGAGGAUGAAGGUCCUCUGGAUUGUAAACUUCUUUUAUCUGGGACGAAAAAGGGUCUUUCUAGAU
rnacentral:rRNA from 1 species